rnacentral:lncRNA from 1 species
AACUUUCUUUGAUUCUGGUUUCUUCUUUGGUUUUAAGGGAAGUUUGAUAUUAUGUUCCCUUUCUCUCUGCAUUGAUGACAUGUAGGAAAGAAUGAGGAAUUUUUUUCACUUUUCCUCUAAAGCCUUGAAGUUAGUUCUUCAUGCUUUAGGAAUUCCUUGAAUUUUUCAUGAAUUCCAUGAAUUCACUACUUUUACUUUGAC